AUUGAACGCUGGCGGCAUGCUUUACACAUGCAAGUCGAACGGUAACAGGCCUUCGGGUGCUGACGAGUGGCGAACGGGUGAGUAAUGCAUCGGAACGUACCCAGAGGUGGGGGAUAACGCAGCGAAAGCUGUGCCAAUACCGCAUGUGAUCUGAGGAUGAAAGCGGGGGACCGAGCAGCAAUGUUUGGCCUCGCGCCUUUGGAGCGGCCGAUGUCGGAUUAGCUAGUUGGUGGGGUAAAGGCCUACCAAGGCGACGAUCCGUAGCUGGUCUGAGAGGACGACCAGCCACACUGGGACUGAGACACGGCCCAGACUCCUACGGGAGGCAGCAGUGGGGAAUUUUGGACAAUGGGCGCAAGCCUGAUCCAGCAAUGCCGCGUGCGGGAAGAAGGCCUUCGGGUUGUAAACCGCUUUUGGCAGGAACGAAACGGUGUCCGCUAAUACCGGGCGCUAAUGACGGUACCUGCAGAAUAAGCACCGGCUAACUACGUG
rnacentral:rRNA from 1 species